rnacentral:tRNA from 1 species
AUUUUUAUGGCAGAAAAUUGCAUUAGAUUUAGAAUCUAAAUAUUUCUAAAUU